CCACCAUAGAUACCCCGGGAGGUCACUCUCCCUGGGCUGUGUCCUGGUGUCAUAGGGGAGCAUAGGGCUCUACCCCAUGAUAUACAGUCCCUUUCCACAACAUUGGAGAGGAAGCUGGGCCUCGUGUCUGCGCCUGCAUAUUCCUACAGCUUCUCAGAGUCCUUUGGACAAUAACCGAGGAGAUAAACUAUGCAGGAAACAAUG
rnacentral:snoRNA from 1 species